rnacentral:tRNA from 1 species
GCCCAUGUAGCUCAAUUGGAAGAGCGAGGGAUUUCUAAGCCCGAGGUUGCAGGUUCAAGUCCUGCCAUGGGUACCA